rnacentral:rRNA from 1 species
CCUACGGGGGGCAGCAGUGGGGAAUAUUGCACAAUGGGGGGAACCCUGAUGCAGCGACGCCGCGUGAGUGAAGAAGUAUUUCGGUACGUAAAGCUCUAUCAGCAGGGAAGAAAAAAGGACGGUACCUGAGUAAGAAGCCCCGGCUAACUACGUGCCAGCAGCCGCGGUAAUACGUAGGGGGCAAGCGUUAUCCGGAUUUACUGGGUUUAAAGGGUGCGUAGGCGGAUCGUUAAGUCAGUGGUCAAAUUGAGGGGCUCAACCCCUUCCCGCCAUUGAAACUGGCGCUCUUGAGUGGAAGAGAAGUA